UACAGAGGUCUCAAGCGUUGUUCGGAUUCAUUGGGCGUAAAGGGCGCGUAGGCGGUCAGCACAAGUCAGUUGUGAAAUCUCCGGGCUUAACUCGGAAAGGUCAACUGAUACUGUGCGACUAGAGUGCAGAAGGGGCAACUGGAAUUCUCGGUGUAGCGGUGAAAUGCGUAGAUAUCGAGAGGAACACCUGCGGCGAAGGCGGGUUGCUGGGCUGACACUGACGCUGAUGCGCGAAAGCCAGGGGAGCGAACGGG
rnacentral:rRNA from 1 species